UACUAGAGUAGCACUCGCAUAUCAAUAAGCGGAGGAAAAGAAACUAACUAGGAUUCCCUUAGUAACGGCGAGUGAAGCGGGAAGAGCUCAAAUUUGAAAUCUUCAAGGGUUCUACCUUUACGAAUUGUAGUUUAAAGAAGUGUUUUCUGUUGGAGUUUUGGUAAAAGUUCUUUGGAAUAGGACAUCAUAGAGGGUGAGGAAUCCCGUAUUUGACCAGUUACUUUCCAGCUGUGUGAUACACUUUCAAAGAGUCGGAUUGUUUGGGAAUGCAGUCCAAAAUGGGUGGUAAAUUUCAUCUAAAGCUAAAUAUUGGCGAGAGACCGAUAGCGAACAAGUACCGUGAGGGAAAGAUGAAAAGAACUUUGAAAAGAGAGUUAAACAGUACGUGAAAUUGUCAAAAGGGAAGCGUUUGACACCAGUGUUGUUUUCUCGAAAAUCAAUUAAAAAAGGCUUGAUUUUGUGUUGUUAAGACUUUAUCAGCUUACUGCACUUUUUUCAUGUCUUUUUUAAUGCACUUUUCGUUUAACAAGUCAACAUCAAUUUCUUUUGUUGUAAAAGGGUCAUUGGAAGGUGGCUUUCAUUUCGGUGAAAGUGUUUAUAGCCUUUGACCUCUGCAAUCGGAGAGAUUGAGGUCUGCAGCGUAGAUCCUUCGGGGUUAGAUACAUUUGUGCUAAGUUAUAGUUUUUCAUAGACAACCUGUUGACUAUGAUUAAUCAUGUAGCUUACUCGCUUAUGCUAUUUUACCUACGCUUAGGAUGUUGAUAGUCACAGCGUGUAC
rnacentral:rRNA from 1 species